rnacentral:rRNA from 1 species
GACGACUUUGGCGGCGUGCUUAACACAUGCAAGUCGAACGGAAAGGCCCUGCUUUUGUGGGGUGCUCGAGUGGCGAACGGGUGAGUAACACGUGAGUAACCUGCCCUUGACUUUGGGAUAACUUCAGGAAACUGGGGCUAAUACCGGAUAGGAGCUCCUGCUGCAUGGUGGGGGUUGGAAAGUUUCGGCGGUUGGGGAUGGACUCGCGGCUUAUCAGCUUGUUGGUGGGGUAGUGGCUUACCAAGGCUUUGACGGGUAGCCGGCCUGAGAGGGUGACCGGCCACAUUGGGACUGAGAUACGGCCCAGACUCCUACGGGAGGCAGCAGUGGGGAAUAUUGCACAAUGGGCGGAAGCCUGAUGCAGCAACGCCGCGUGCGGGAUGACGGCCUUCGGGUUGUAAACCGCUUUCGCCUGUGACGAAGCGUGAGUGACGGUAAUGGGUAAAGAAGCACCGGCUAACUACGUGCCAGCAGCCGCGGUGAUACGUAGGGUGCGAGCGUUGUCCGGAUUUAUUGGGCGUAAAGGGCUCGUAGGUGGUUGAUCGCGUCGGAAGUGUAAUCUUGGGGCUUAACCCUGAGCGUGCUUUCGAUACGGGUUGACUUGAGGAAGGUAGGGGAGAAUGGAAUUCCUGGUGGAGCGGUGGAAUGCGCAGAUAUCAGGAGGAACACCAGUGGCGAAGGCGGUUCUCUGGGCCUUUCCUGACGCUGAGGAGCGAAAGCGUGGGGAGCGAACAGGCUUAGAUACCCUGGUAGUCCACGCUGUAAACGGUGGGUACUAGGUGUGGGGUCCAUUCCACGGGUUCCGUGCCGUAGCUAACGCUUUAAGUACCCCGCCUGGGGAGUACGGCCGCAAGGCUAAAACUCAAAGGAAUUGACGGGGCCCCGCACAAGCGGCGGAGCAUGCGGAUUAAUUCGAUGCAACGCGUAGAACCUUACCUGGGUUUGACAUGGAUCGGGAGUGCUCAGAGAUGGGUGUGCCUCUUUUGGGGUCGGUUCACAGGUGGUGCAUGCCUGUCGUCAGCUCGUGUCGUGAGAUGUUGGGUUAAGUCCCGCAACGAGCGCAACCCUUGUUCACUGUUGCCAGCACGUUAUGGUGGGGACUCAGUGGAGACCGCCGGGGUCAACUCGGAGGAAGGUGGGGAUGACGUCAAGUCAUCAUGCCCCUUAUGUCCAGGGCUUCACGCAUGCUACAAUGGCUGGUACAGAGAGUGGCGAGCCUGUGAGGGUGAGCGAAUCUCGGAAAGCCGGUCUCAGUUCGGAUUGGGGUCUGCAACUCGACCUCAUGAAGUCGGAGUCGCUAGUAAUCGCAGAACAGCAACGCUGCGGUGAAUACGUUCCCGGGGCC